rnacentral:sRNA from 1 species
AACUAAGGAACGAAGGCUAAGUACGCCGCCUCGUGCGGCAACGCCUUCGUGACCAACAUCAUGUUGG